UACUUCGGGUAAACCCGAAUCCGAACCCGAAAUAUCCGAUCCGAACCUGACCCGAACCCAAAGUUUUAAAAUACUCGAACGGGUCUUAGUUUUUAUACCCGAAAAAUCCGAACCCGAAAAACUCGACCCCGAACCCGACCCGAAUAUCCGAACGCCCAGGCCUAAUAACAUAUAUACCCUUCAUUAGUGAUUUAGUUGACAUGGUCUUGUGUUUCAGGUGCUUACAUUCUGCUGUGAUCCUAUACCGGUGUUCAAGAACCUGACUCAACUAUCAAUUAAGACUGGCCCGGAACUAGGAUGGGAAUCGUUGCCAGGUGGAGAGGAGAUUUGAAUGUGGAGGAGGAGCUGAUGAAGAUAGAAAGACAUUAAUGGAGCAGGUGAAACAUUUCUUGGAGGAAAUGAAACUUGAAGAAUAGAUACAAGACGGCCAGACAUAAUCUGCUCUUCUUGAAAAAGUUACUCGCCCAAGUACUCAUUGAUCAGCCUUGGUUUUCAAAGUUUGGGAUCUAUAGUUUUAAUGUCAAUCUUUUGGUUUCCGAAACCAAAACUAAGUAGAUUUUGUUAUAAGCUACAACUGAAACCCCUUUUUCUAAGUUUUCUAAAGUUUGGGUAAGUUUGAAGAACCAGUGAACUAUGAGAGAUAAUGCAAUCGUUGACAGGUGUCCAGUUUAAUGCAGUCUUCGACA